rnacentral:lncRNA from 12 species
AUGAGGUCCUGUCCAGGGUGGGAGAGCGGAGAGAGAGAGAGCUUCCUGCCUCAGCCUCCUAAAAGUUCACCUACUCAGUGUUCUUCUCCUGUAGGGACUCACGGCCCCAGAGUCCCCACAGCCUUCUCCUCUGUUGCAGAACCCGAGAGACCGGCUGUGGAGCUGACAGCAUUCAAGGCAUCAGGUACAGCUCCCACGUCAGGGAGCUCCCCUUUCCCCCUUGGCACCUGGACACCCCCUCAGCCCCCCUGCCCCAGGAUGGAGGUGAUUCGAGAAGCAAGCACACGUGUCCUCCCCCUUGCGGGCCCUUCCUCUUCCUGGCGUCUGAGAGGCCUCCAUGGGGACACUGGGGGCAUCAGGAUAGCGCAGUGCUCAUCGGGAGAGGGUACUUAGGGAACAGGUUUGGGACCUCUUCCCUUCCCAGCGCGGUGCUGCAGGAGGGGCAGGGAGCCCGGAGCCCUCCUUCCCUGGUGCACCCCCUCCGUCUGCCCCCCAGGCCCAGCCUCCCGGGUGUGCCCCUCUCAGCGCCCCUCCCCCGAUGCCCUGCGGGCCGCAAGGACUUCCAAACCUGGUGAGAAGCAAGCGCCAUCCUUCAGGCUCUGCCCCCAGCGGGACAGCUGAUGGGGGCCUGUGGGCAGUGGAGCCAGGCUGGGGCUCCCCCGGGGCCUGCUCAGAGAGGGCUGAGCCUCCGGAGCUCAGCCUAGCCCGGGGGAGCAGAGGGGCCUCUGGCCACUGCCCGCCUGUGUCCGCCCAGGACCCGGUCUAGGAGCCCAGCGGCCCGGCCUCAUACCCGGGGGACCUCCCUGUGGGCGCGAGACAGGCCGGUCCGUGCGGCUCCCGCUGGGCGGGGCUCCGGGCUAAAGCCCUGCCUCGGGGACUCCUCUAACCCGGGCACAGGGGAACCCCCGUCCCUCCGAGCAGCCGCAGAGGCUGCGGAUGCCGGCCGGGCCCCUCCCCCACCGCGCCAUGGGGAGCCCCGAGUCCGUAGGGCCCCGGCUCCCAGCCUGGGCUCCCGCUUCGGCCGAGCAGGCGGGGGGCGCCCCCUCCAGGCCAGCGCGCGGUGGACCCUCCAUGGGCCCGACGGCGCCCCGC